AUCGGCCCCGUCGGGCCGGGCCGCGGCCGCGGCAUCCCCGGCUGUGCCCGAGAGCGGCGCGGUGCCCCCUCCCCGCAGGGCACUGCCUCGCUCACCAGCGCUCCCUCCAGCUGCGCGCAGGCCACCCGGCACGCGGGUAGUUACAAGCAACACAUUUUUCCAGCUAUCUCAGAGUUUAGCUAAAGCACACAGAAGACAGAAUUAGACCUGGAUCCAGGAAAGAGUCAAGGAAAAUACACCAAGAAGCAGAAAGUAGAGAAAUUUAAGUUUGAAGCCAUACUUAGCACAGACAUGCAGAGAACGUUCCAUCUCCUGUGCCAAGGCAAAACCGCUCCACUGAACAGCUUUCACUACAACUGCAGUUGCAGGCAAUAUGCAGAGGGAAAAGAUACCCAAACCAGCCAAGUUGCAUAAUUCGCUCUCUGCAGUGUUAACAGAUUUGUCUCCAUCUCGUUAGGACCCACGUUUUAAACUGUUGCUUACAACAACAUGUAUGCAGGAAUGAAGCUGUAAACUUGGUCAAAAGCCUUUAAAAGCAGCAGUAUCCUACUUGAAAAAAGUUUUGUAAAAGGAGAUUAAUUUGAAAUGCCCCUUACCACGCAAUUUCUUGCUGAAUGUAGUGCUCAGUGUUUCUCUUCUGUUGAGUAAGCCCUUAUGUGGCAUUGUUCCUUGCCAGAUGAUCCUUUCUGCCCUCUGCAAGAUUUCCCGGUCACGACAACUGCAUUCCACUGAAGCAAUUAAAAUAUAAAUGCUAUUAAACACAUGAGACUGAACUAUGGUGAACUUAGACGAAACAGGUGGAAUCCCAGCCCUGGGGAAGUUAAUGGAAAUUUUAACAUUGAUGUAAAUUGAGCAAAAAUGUCACUCAAAUGAGGGCACUUUGGCAGAAACUACAUAAAAAGGGAAUUAUUUAUAUGCAUGUGCACACAUACUAAGGACUCCUAAGCAGCAAAGCCAACAGAAAAGCUGGAUGUCACUUCGUUUCUGCUAUUGGAGACAAAAAGGAAAAAACCCAACUGCUACUUCUUCUACUGCAUAUGUAAGCAGCUCUCAGAUUUUUCAGUAGAUGGGCCGAGAAAUAACUCCAAAAAAUACAGACAGAAUACAUUAUAGUUUUGUGGUAUUUGUUGUCUUAGCUCAGGCAUUUUCUCUACUCUUUGACACUUUACAGUGUGUCCUAAAAUAACAAAUUGGUUGUUAAUAUAAUGGUACAGCAACCAAAAAAAAAAGAAAAAAGAAAAAAGAAAGAAAGGUACAUCCUUUAUCUUGAAUUCCUGAUACUACUGAUAAACCCAAUCUCAAAAAAGAAUAAUCAUUCACAAUGUUUUGUGUUAUCUGGUCCUAAUAUGUUUCAUAUUUUUAAUAGUGGCAUUUCAAUUCAAAACAUACACCUUUCAAAGUAAAUAAAUCAAUGUCAUGCUAUGUUGUUUAUAUUUACCAGUUGCAAACAUGCCAAAAGCUGUAUCACGUGCUUUGGACAGUAUUCAUAAUUAUUCCAGAAAAAUACAUUUCUCAGUAUAUACUGAGAAAGGUAGUAUCUACUACUCUUUAAAGUGUUCAAAGAUUCAAAAGCAAAGUUAUUCAAACCUGAAUUAGUUCUGGAUUUAUAAAAGUCAGUAAAACAUCAGUCCAGGCUUAGAGAAACAAUGCUAAGAUUAAUAGCAUGAAAAUGUUCCUUAUCUUGUGAAAGGCACACUUUCCUUUUCCUUCGUGUGGAGAUAUAUAUAUAUAUAUAUGUAUAUAUAUGUAUACAUACACACACACACAUAUAGCCAUACCCUCCCUAAACAGCUUGCAACAAGUUCUAUUGUUUCACGAACCAAAGACACACAAUAAAACAAAAAAAAUAAUGUUCACCACAGUUCUUCUUCCUCUUCUUGCCUUCAUAUGGAAUCUGCCCCAGAAAAGACAUGUAUUUUGGUGGCUUUUGUAUUGCACAAGAAAAAAGUAAUGGUCAAACAGCUGAUUAAGGAAGAGAAGAGCUUAAAGGCAAUUUUCUAAAGCAAGUCAAAGCACAUCUUCUGCCUUAUUUUAGAUUGAAGUAUCCAUUCAUCUUUAAAAGUCAUUAUACAUAAUGAAAAGGUCAUAGCCAAGUUUUAGUCAGCUUUGCUUGUAAGUAUGGGUGUUUGCCCAAUAUUUCUAUAUGAAUAUGGUAAAAUCCUACACACUGUCUGAAAGCAUCUAUAAAUCAGCAAAAUGUGUUAAUUUAAAAUUUAUAUAAUGCAAAUAUUAGGAAAAGGGAUGUGAAGAGCAAAAAAAAAGGUAUCAGCAAAGUUUAAGAUUCUGCAAAUAGACUAGGAUGUAUAAGACCUGCAGGCUUAAUGGGCAGCAUUAUUUCAGCUCAGAGAAUACUCUGUGCCUGUUUCCUUUUAACUUCAGCAAGAUGAAGUAGAGAUUUUAAAUUGCAACAAAUUUGUCUAAGAGUUCUCAAGUCUCAGUAUUAGCUGGUGUCUCCUACUGUUGUGUCCAUUCUAGCUGGCUAAUUUGCCCAAAUAGUAUUUAAAAAUGGAAUACUACUAUAAUAAAUAAUCUAUUUUUUAGGUCCAGUUAUAAAGAGUUUCAAAUUUUCAGAAAGUAAGUUCUUUAAAUUUGCAUAUGCCACAUUAACUGAUACAUAGUGACCAUCAGUUUUAUCAACAUAGUAGCUACAAUUAUAUUCACCCAUCCAGGAUUCUGAGUUCAUGCAGAGCUAUUUACUAUUAUGCUGUUUCAGUGCUGUCAUGCAACAUAAAAAUGAAAUAUUAAAAUGACAAGUAUUUUAUUUACAUUUAUUGCUGAAUAAAUAGGCACAAUAAUCUAAAAAGUCAUAAUAAGUGCAUAUUUAAUCCCUAUCUCUGCAUUCAUGUACUUUAUUUGCCUCUCAUCUAGGAGUAAUAUUCUCAGGGUUUAACCAUUAUACUUUUAAGAAAGUAGUUUUGUAGAUUUAUGUAAGCUUGAUGUGUAAGCCUAGAGCUAUCUAGUUAUGGUUUCUGAUGUAAAAGAGCCAUUAAUUCAAUAGUGUCUAAAAGACUGCAGCUAGAAGACUGAAGUACAUGUAAAAAGAGAAAAAAAGAUCUGGCUGUCACGUGCCCUCUAAACCAGCCUACUGACCUAUACACAUUGCAAGUCAACAUCCUGUAUCACCCUGUGUAUUUAUGUAUUUUUGGUAGCUGAGGAUUUCAGCACUAAUAGAAGAUGACAGUCCAAAGGGAGAACCUAUCAGAGCAUGUUUGCAUGACUAUUUGUGUGUUUAUGCACUGCGAUUCAAAUACAUUUUCCUGUUUAUUAGGAAUGCAAAUUCCAGUGCUACCUCCUAGAAAGGCCUCUAUUUAAAUAAAUGGAAGGUUCUUAAAACAAAUGUAGCCAUGUAUUGUAUCAAGAGUACCAUUUGCCUCAAUCUCUAAAUUGUUUCUUUUUGGCAUGUCAAAACUGGUUUGUACACAAUGGAGAAAAUUAAUUUUGGGGCAAGGCCAAGUGAUUUAGCAUGAACAUGCCAUUUUAAUGAAGCCUGGAGUUGCUAAAAACUGCUUUGGUUUCUUCCCUUUCCUGGUAAGUGGAAUCCAGAUAAAUCUUGUUAGUAAACUAUGUACUUAAUCUUGCCAAUUAGCCACUGACUAAUUGUGUUAGAACCAAUUAUUAAUGUUGGAACCAGCUAUGUUCAAACAGCUUAGACUGGCAUCCUGCAACUGUUUAGUGAGGUUGUAUUUUUAUAUGACAAACAUUUUCACAUCCUGACUUAGGGUAAGCACAUGAUAGGAAGGAGAAGAAGGAGGGGAAGGAAGGAGAAGAAG